rnacentral:antisense_RNA from 1 species
CAGUUAAUGGGAAAAAGCUAAGAUUUUUUGGUUCUUUUGAGGCAGUUACAGUUGAAAGAACGACUGUAUCACCGUAUCUAACUAAUACUGCUCCAUUCGCUUGUUUUGCUAGUUGGCCUACUUCUACUGUAAGUGGUUUACCAGCAAGCUCUGUGGAAAAAACGUGCUUUUGUUGUUCCAUAUGGUAUAAAUACCCCUCUCUAAAUGACAAUUCAUUGUACUUACCUUGAAUUAUGUAAAAAUCUUCAUAUUACCUAUUAUCUCCUAUGUUUAGCAAAGAAAUCAACUAACGAUAAAGAGAUUAAAAUAUUUCUU